AAUGGCCUACGGGGCGCAGCAGUGGGGAAUAUUGCACAAUGGGGGAAACCCUGAUGCAGCAACGCCGCGUGAGUGAUGACGGCCUCCGGGUUGUAAAGCUCUGUCUUCAGGGACGAUAAUGACGGUACCUGAGGAGGAAGCCACGGCUAACUACGUGCCAGCAGCCGCGGUAAUACGUAGGUGGCGAGCGUUGUCCGGAUUUACUGGGCGUAAAGGGAGCGUAGGCGGACUUUUAAGUGGGAUGUGAAAUACUCGGGCUCAACUUGAGUGCUGCAUUUCAAACUGGAAGUCUAGAG
rnacentral:rRNA from 1 species